UAGGGAAUCUUCGGCAAUGGACGAAAGUCUGACCGAGCAACGCCGCGUGAGUGAAGAAGGUUUUCGGAUCGUAAAACUCUGUUGUUAGAGAAGAACAAGGACGUUAGUAACUGAACGUCCCCUGACGGUAUCUAACCAGAAAGCCACGGCUAACUACGUGCCAGCAGCCGCGGUAAUACGUAGGUGGCAAGCGUUGUCCGGACUUAUUGGGCGUAAAGCGAGCGCAGGCGGUUUCUUAAGUCUGAUGUGAAAGCCCCCGGCUCAACCGGGGAGGAUCAUUGGAAACUGGGAGACUUACGUGCAGAAGAGGAGAGUGGAAUUCCAUGUGUAGCGGUGAAAUGCGUAGAUAUAUGGAGAGACACCAGUGGCGAAGGCGACUCUCUGGUCUGUAACUGACACUGAGGCUCGAAAGCGUGGGGAGCAAACAGG
rnacentral:rRNA from 1 species